rnacentral:lncRNA from 1 species
CCGGAAGGAAGGCCAUGAUUUCAGCUCUCUGGGAUUUGAGACAAAGAGGCCCCUUUUCUUUCAUUUUAUCUUUUCAUGUCUCUUCUUGCCAUGUACCCACAUGAUUGAGUGUGGGCUGAGGGUGAAUCCAAGAAGGGCUUUGUUUUGUGGUCAGUACAGGCUUUGGUCCACAGAGACAACAAUACUUUCAAUACUCUUUUGUUCUGCCCCAGAGGAGCUCAACACAGAAUUGCCUAGAACAAGAAACUGGUGAGAGAAGCUGCAGCCUGUUGAGACUCCACAAGACUGAAGAUAUGAAAAGAGGAAAUAUGCAUGAAUGCCCGCACGGAGAACCACCCCCACCUGCUGCUCCCGCUCUAAUGAUCACGCCCAUUAUCAACUGGGGGAUGGCUCUGUGCCUUGUCCUUGCAUUACAUGGACCAAGAACACUUCACAGGACUCAGAGAGUAACACUGAAGAAUGCAGUUUACUUACAUCUUUUUCUGUUUGACAGAAGACAGUUAUUAGAACCCGAAAGGAAGAAGCUAUACGACUGGGGACACAUGUCUUAGAAGCACACUCAUUAGAUAAAGUGUCGCAUACUCUUUGAUAAGUGACUCAGAACACCCGUGUCCUUCCCAACAUUGGAUGCAAUGCUAAAGACAUGAUGUUGCUCCUGCUGGACCACACCUUGAAGGAAUUGCCUACCCCACCUCACCUCCAAAAUUAAAGUCUUUCGUUUUGACAAAAGUUAAUGAUAAGGUUUGAUGUGCUAAUUUCAGCACCUCCACUUCAUGUCUACACUGUGGACAUAUACUUUUUUGUUGUUUUGGGGUUUUU